rnacentral:rRNA from 1 species
UACGUAGGGGGCAAGCGUUGUCCGGAUUUAUUGGGCGUAAAGAGCGUGUAGGCGGCUAUGCAGGUCCGCUGUGAAAACUCGAGGCUCAACCUCGAGACGUCGGUGGAAACCGCAUGGCUAGAGUCCGGAAGAGGAGAGUGGAAUUCCCGGUGUAGCGGUGAAAUGCGCAGAUAUCGGGGAAGAACACCCGUGGCGAAGGCGGCUCUCUGGGACGGUACUGACGCUGAGACGCGAAAGCGUGGGGAGCGAACAGG